CUAAAACUGGAGCAAGUCACAUUACUGGAGACCUCAGGCUUGAGACUCCAAUGAUAGACAAGGGCCCUGAAGCUUGGUAGUAAGCCGGAAGAACUGUUUUUGGAAAGUAUAAAACUACUUAAGCAACAACUGUCCUCAGUCCCUAAUUACACCCUUGCUGAGGAGGUCUGGAAGGGCUCUAGGGGCCUCUGGGCUUGGAACCAGCUCCACUUAGUUUAUGCCCUUAUGGGGAAACAACAAC
rnacentral:lncRNA from 1 species